GGUUAUAAAGCUCGUAGUUGGAUUUCUGCCGAGGACGACCGGUCCGCCCUCUGGGUGAGUAUCUGGCUCGGCCUGGGCAUCUUCUUGGAGAACGUAUCUGCACUUGACUGUGUGGUGCGGUAUCCAGGACUUUUACUUUGAGGAAAUUAGAGUGUUUCAAGCAGGCACACGCCUUGAAUACAUUAGCAUGGAAUAAUAAGAUAGGACCUCGGUUCUAUUUUGUUGGUUUCUAGAGCUGAGGUAAUGAUUAAUAGGGAUAGUUGGGGGCACUCGUAUUUAACCGUCAGAGGUGAAAUUCUUGGAUUUGUUAAAGACGGACUACUGCGAAAGCAUUUGCCAAGGAUGUUUUCAUUGAUCAAGAACGAAAGUUAGGGGA
rnacentral:rRNA from 1 species